AAUUAAGCAAUUUGGAUUCUACGAAGCAGCGGCGCGGCCAAAAUCCCCCAAAUCCUCUCGGAGCCCGAGGUCGCUUGGAGUCGGCGCGGCGGCGCACGCAAUGCCCGCCCUGCAGCCUCCACCGGCGUCGUCUCCGGGGCGGGAGCGGGAGCGGGGCGACGCGGCUGCUUCCUCCGCCGGUGGGCGCCGCCGCUCUCGCUCGCCGCCUUGGAGCCCUCGCGCGCGGUCCCCGUCCCUCUCGCGGUCGCCGCCCUCGUCGUCGUCGUCGUCCUCCGAGGAUGAACGUGAGAAUUGCGAGACCCAAACUGAAACUGCAUGGAUGGAAUUGGGAUUCCCAAAUUCAGGGCCUCGAGGUGUAACUGAGAUCACUUAUCUUCUGAGGUCCCACGAGCUCAAGAUCAGUGAGUUGGAGUCAAAAGAGCAGAUUUACUGCAACAGCCUGGUUCAACUCGAAGAGAGAAUCGCAUCACUAGAAUAUUACAAGGAGAAAUUGCUUACAAGACUUUCAUGGACAGAAGAGGCCAAUUCGACUUUGAGAUCUGACAAUUCCAAAUUGAAGAAUUUGGCAUACAGUCUUAAGGAAAGGGUGGACGAGUUAGAAAAAGACAACUUCAUGCUAGGGCUGAAGAUGAAUGAGUUUGCUCAAGAGAUGGAACGAUUUCAGAUGCAGGUAGGAUCAACCAACACACAGAUGCAGGAUAAUCUUGAUGAUAUGGCCAAAGCUUUUGAAUCUAAAGAAAGACAUGUCACCUUCACACAACAAAAACUAGCGGAUUCGAUCAACCAUCACGAAGAAAGAAUCGCAACACUAGAACAGGAUAUAAGCCAAUGUACUCAACAUGUUCAAUCACUUCAGGUCAAGGUAAAAUCAAACACCAGUCAACUGGAAACCAAUAAUAAUGAUCAUCAUUCGCUUGAGAAUAGGAUUCAAGUUUUGGAAUCAACAGAAAGGCAGAACGCUUCUAGAUUGGUGAAAAUGGAGGAGUCUAUUAUCCAUCAGCAUGAAAGAACCAUAGGAGUAGAGCAAGACUUGAGUGCAAAUAUAACUCAACAUGGUCAGCAAAUUCAAACGCUCCAGAACAAAGUAAAAUCAAACACCAGUCAACUGCAAACCAAUAAUAAUGAAGCUCAUUUGCUUGAGAAUAGGAUUCAAGUUUUGGAAUCAGCAGAAAGGCAGAACGCUUCUAGAUUGGUGAAAAUGGAAGAUUCUAUUAUCCAUCAGCAUGAAAGAAUCAUAGGAGUAGAGCAAGACAUGAGUGCAAAUAUAACUCAACAUGGUCAGCAAGUUCAAACGCUCCAGAACAAAGAAAAUGAUGUUCUUAUGAAGUCUUUUCAGUCGCUGCUCACUUGUAUGGUACCAUUUAUUGUUGCGUUUCUGCUAUCAAUGCUUAGCAGCCAAUCUGAUUUCGGUGAAUAUGAGAAGGAUCUUGUGAUUCAAGUUUCAUUGGUGUGUGGAUUACCUGGCGUAAUGGCUAUGGUCUUUGCUCACUUAGCAAGUGGACCAUUUUGGACUUCUAUCGUAGCAAGCUUGACAUUAUACUUUGUCAUUUAUAGCAUCACAUUAGUGUAUUAUGCAUUCAUAAGACUUCUACCAUGGAGUCCAUGGACAAGAUUGCAGUUUUAUGCUACUGUCAUUCUUCUUGCAAUAUUCCUGAUCGUGGUCCUUACCAUGCUGAUUGUUUGGGGGAGUUUUGUUAAAAAACCAAAGGUAAACAAGUGACUACUCUGGUCCCUUGCAAAGUUUAUCAUUGAAGACAAGUUGCCAAUGAAGAUUCAGAAGCUUGAUUGUGUCACAUUUGUUGUACAGAUGUUACUACUAUGUCUAGAAGUUUUACAUACUUAGGAUAACGUUGAAGAACUUUUGCUCAUAGCUAAUAGAAAGCGAGAGAUAUGCUAACUUGGAUAAAGUCUAGAUAUUUCUACUGCCUUCAAUUCCUUUUUUUUAAUCAACCGUAAACGAAGUUAUGCAUGGUUAGGAAAUACUUCACAUUAUUUUUUUUUUGAAAAAACUUAUUUCACAGAAUUAAAACACUGAAGAAAUUUCUCUUUUAUUAGAGAACUUGAGAUGCUAAUAUGGAUGAUGCUAUGUUUAAAAGGGAAAUAAUACCAAGACAACGAAG
rnacentral:lncRNA from 1 species